UUGUUUACCUGGCAGGGGACAUACCAUGAUCAAGAUGGUGUUUUUUUCCCAGGAUAAGACUUAUCCAUUUUACACUGCUGUGCAGACAUCUAUGAUUCCCCAAAUGUGGGAAACACAACUGUGUGAUUCAUGGUAGUGCGGAUCUAUAUUCUCACUUUCCCAA
rnacentral:snRNA from 1 species